AGGGGUGUGUGUCGAGCGAUCAUGCACACGCUUUCGUUUUCUCAUGAGAAAACGACCUUAUUUCCUCUUCCGCAACCUAUUCUGAUAAAGGGUGGCAAAGAGACAUAGGAAGGCAAACAUUAUUCCAACAAAACACGAUAUUUCCAGUAUCCGCCACACAAUGAUGUCUUGAUGAUGGGAGCUUCUGGACCAAAGAUUGGACAGCCUUGUCCAACCACCUUGGUACAUUUAGUUUGGCUGUUUUUUAUUGCAGGUACUAUUGUAUCAGCAAAUUGUCCCCCGAAAGAAUACCGACAUGGAAUUGAAUGUUGCCCUGAAUGUCCACCUGGACAGCGUGUGUCCGAGGACUGUACAGAGAAUAAAAUGACGGCCUGUGAGCAGUGCAGUGAAGGUACUUUCCACAAUGGCUAUAAUAAGCGUAAAGAAUGUGAUCCCUGUACAGACUGUCCUCCAGGUCUAGGUUUGAAGGUUAAGAAGCCGUGUACAACCACAUCAGAUGCUCUGUGUGAGCUACUGGAUGGAUACUUCUGUAAGGAGAACAAGAGGGGUGGAUGUAUGGCAGCACAGAGACACAAGGAUUGCAGUCCUGGUCAAUACAUCAGCCAAAGAGGAACAGCAUCUCAAGACACAGUGUGCCUUAAAUGCAACCAUGGAACAUUCUCAAAUGGCAACUCAACAUCUUGCCGGCCCCACACAAUAUGUGAACAUCUGGAACUGGAGGAGAAGUGUUUGGAAGGUAUUAUUAUUCAUAGUAGGUGGAACACUAAUUCAA